rnacentral:rRNA from 1 species
AGUGAACGCUGGCGGUAGGCCUAACACAUGCAAGUCGAACGGCAGCACAGUAAGAGCUUGCUCUUACGGGUGGCGAGUGGCGGACGGGUGAGGAAUACAUCGGAAUCUACUUUUUCGUGGGGGAUAACGUAGGGAAACUUACGCUAAUACCGCAUACGACCUACGGGUGAAAGCAGGGGAUCUUCUGACCUUGCGCGAUUGAAUGAGCCGAUGUCGGAUUGGCUAGUUGGCGGGGUAAAGGCCCACCAAGGCGACGAUCCGUAGCUGGUCUGAGAGGAUGAUAAGCCACACUGGAAGGGGGACACGGUCCAGACUCCUGCGGGAGGGAGCAGUGGGGAAUAUUGGACAAUGGGCGCAAGCCUGAUCCAGCCAGACCGCGUGGGUGAAGAAGGCCUUCGGGUUGUAAAGCCCUUUUGUUGGGAAAGAAAAGCAGCAGGUUAAUACCCCGCUGUUCUGACGGUACCCAAAGAAUAAGCACCGGCUAACUUCGUG